rnacentral:rRNA from 1 species
UACGAAGGGGGCUAGCGUUGCUCGGAAUGACUGGGCGUAAAGGGCGCGUAGGCGGUUUGCAUAGUCAGGCGUGAAAUUCCUGGGCUUAACCUGGGGGCUGCGCUUGAUACGUGUGGACUGGAGUGCGGAAGAGGGUCGUGGAAUUCCCAGUGUAGAGGUGAAAUUCGUAGAUAUUGGGAAGAACACCGGUGGCGAAGGCGGCGACCUGGUCCGUGACUGACGCUGAGGCGCGAAAGCGUGGGGAGCAAACAGG